rnacentral:rRNA from 1 species
GACGAACGCUGGCGGCGUGCUUAACACAUGCAAGUCGAACGGAAAGGCCCUGCUUUUGUGGGGUGCUCGAGUGGCGAACGGGUGAGUAACACGUGAGUAACCUGCCCUUGACUUUGGGAUAACUUCAGGAAACUGGGGCUAAUACCGGAUAGGAGCUCCUGCUGCAUGGUGGGGGUUGGAAAGUUUCGGCGGUUGGGGAUGGACUCGCGGCUUAUCAGCUUGUUGGUGGGGUAGUGGCUUACCAAGGCUUUGACGGGUAGCCGGCCUGAGAGGGUGACCGGCCACAUUGGGACUGAGAUACGGCCCAGACUCCUACGGGAGGCAGCAGUGGGGAAUAUUGCACAAUGGGCGGAAGCCUGAUGCAGCAACGCCGCGUGCGGGAUGACGGCCUUCGGGUGGGAAACCGCUUUCGCCUGUGACGAAGCGUGAGGGACGGGAAUGGGUAAAGAAGCACCGGCGAACUACGU